ACAGCUCAGCGGCUAGAGCACCUGCUCUGCAUGCAGAAGCUUCCAGGUUCAUUUCCUGGCAUCUCUA